UGAACGCUAGCGAGAUGCUUUACACAUGCAAGUCGUACGGGAGUUUUUAACUCUAGUGGCGGACGGGUGAGUAACACGUAAGAAUUUGCCUUUAGGAGGGGGAUAACAUCGUCAGAAAUGAUUCGAGAAAUUGAUGCUAAUACCCCAUAUGCUUUCGAGUGAAAUGGAGUUUUCCGCCUAAAGAGAAGCUUGCGGCUGAUUAGCUUGUUGGUGAGGUAAUGGCUUACCAAGGCGACGAUCAGUAUCUGGUUUGAGAGGAUGAUCAGACACACUGGAACUGAGACACGGUCCAGACUCCUACGGGAGGCAGCAGUGGGGAAUUUUCCGCAAUGGGCGAAAGCCUGACGGAGCAAUCUCGCGUGAGGGAUGACUGCCUAUGGGUUGUAAACCUCUUUUUUCAGGGAGGAAUAAAUGACGUUACCUGAAGAAUAAGCAUCGGCUAA
rnacentral:rRNA from 1 species